GCUUGGUUCUUCAGACAGUAUGACUGCACUAGGAGAAUGAUCUAUUAUUUACGUGCUAAAGAGAAACAGAAUGAUCAAGAACUGGCCGAAUAGUAUGAUGGCAUCGUGCUUUUAAAGGGUAGAGUGUGAAAAACUCUGAAGGCAUGAAAUACUAUAGCACCACCUCUUGAAAAGGAUGCUGAGAACAACUGGAUCAGGCUAGAAAAAGAAGAGGAUGGAAGGUGAGAAUAAGAGUGGACC